rnacentral:rRNA from 1 species
UGCAAGUCGAGGGGUAUGCUUCUUCGGGAGCAGAGACCGGCGCACGGGUGCGUAACGCGUAUGCAAUCUACCUUUUACAGAGGGAUAGCCCAGAGAAAUUUGGAUUAAUACCUCAUAGUAUAAUGACUCGGCAUCGAGAUAUUAUUAAAGUCACAACGGUAAAAGAUGAGCAUGCGUCCCAUUAGCUAGUUGGUAAGGUAACGGCUUACCAAGGCUACGAUGGGUAGGGGUCCUGAGAGGGAGAUCCCCCACACUGGUACUGAGACACGGACCAGACUCCUACGGGAGGCAGCAGUGAGGAAUAUUGGACAAUGGGCGCAAGCCUGAUCCAGCCAUGCCGCGUGCAGGAUGACGGUCCUAUGGAUUGUAAACUGCUUUUAUACGAGAAGAAACACUACUUCGUGAAGUAGCUUGACGGUAUCGUAAGAAUAAGGAUCGGCUAACUCCGUGCCAGCAGCCGCGGUAAUACGGAGGAUCCAAGCGUUAUCCGGAAUCAUUGGGUUUAAAGGGUCCGUAGGCGGUUUAAUAAGUCAGUGGUGAAAGCCCAUCGCUCAACGGUGGAACGGCCAUUGAUACUGUUAAACUUGAAUUAUUAGGAAGUAACUAGAAUAUGUAGUGUAGCGGUGAAAUGCUUAGAGAUUACAUGGAAUACCAAUUGCGAAGGCAGGUUACUACUAAUGGAUUGACGCUGAUGGACGAAAGCGUGGGUAGCGAACAGGAUUAGAUACCCUGGUAGUCCACGCCGUAAACGAUGGAUACUAGCUGUUGGGAGCAAUUUCAGUGGCUAAGCGAAAGUGAUAAGUAUCCCACCUGGGGAGUACGUUCGCAAGAAUGAAACUCAAAGGAAUUGACGGGGGCCC